GCAACAGCUCAAAUUUGAAAUCUGGCUACUUUUGUAGUCCCGAGUUGUAAUUUGUAGAGGAUGCUUUUGGUGAGGUGCUUUCUGAGUUCCCUGGAACGGGACGCCAAAGAGGGUGAGAGCCCCGUACAGUUAGAUACCAAACCUUUGUAUAGCUCCUUCGACGAGUCGAGUAGUUUGGGAAUGCUGCUCUAAAUGGGAGGUAUAUCUCUUCUAAAGCUAAAUAUAGGCUAGAGACCGAUAGCGCACAA
rnacentral:rRNA from 1 species